UCCCUGGUGGCUCAGAUGGUAAAGCGCCUGUCUGCAACGUGGGAGACCCAGGUUUGAUCCCUGGGUUGGGAA
rfam:TPA: Bos taurus chromosome 24, whole genome shotgun sequence.